rnacentral:rRNA from 1 species
GAGGGGUAACAGGUGUAGCAAUACAUGCUGACGACCGGCGCACGGGUGCGUAACACGUAUACAAUCUACCUUUAACUGGGGGAUAGCCCGGAGAAAUCCGGAUUAAUACCCCAUAACAGUAGGAGAGGCAUCUCUCUUAUUUGAAAGUUCCGACGGUUGAAGAUGAGUAUGCGUCUGAUUAGUUUGUUGGUGAGGUAACGGCUCACCAAGACUACGAUCAGUAGGGGAUCUGAGAGGAUUAACCCCCACACGGAUACUGAGACACGGAUCCGACUCCUACGGGAGGCAGCAGUAAGGAAUAUUGGACAAUGGGCGCAAGCCUGAUCCAGCCAUGCCGCGUGCAGGAAGAAGGCGCUAUGCGUCGUAAACUGCUUUUACACCGGAGAAAACCCCCUUAUGUAUAAGGGGCUGAUAGUAUGGUGAGAAUAAGCAUCGGCUAACUUCGUGCCAGCAGCCGCGGUAAGACGAAGGAUGCAAGCGUUAUCCGGAUUCAUUGGGUUUAAAGGGAGCGUAGGUGGUCUUAUAGGUCAGUGGUGAAAUCUCGCAGCUUAACUGCGAAACUGCCAUUGAUACUGUAGGACUUGAGUGUAGUUGCUGUGGGCGGAAUAUGACAUGUAGUGGUGAAAUACUUAGAGAUGUCAUAGAACACCGAUUGCGAAGGCAGCUCACAAAACUAUAACUGACACUGAGGCUCGAAAGU